UACUCAUCUGGUCUGUUCUCUCUCGAGCUUUUCUUUCAAAAAAUUCUGGUCAUCCUUUCAAUAAAUUGGCUGCUUUGGUUCCAGUUUUCCUUUCUGAGAUGCUGUUAAUUUUUAUUCUCCUUUUAGAUUUCUCUACUUUGGUUCUUGGGUGGUUGGAAUAUAUAUAUAUUUGUACGUGAAUCUUCAACAAUUUUUAACCAAGUUCUCAACUUCUACUGAUUUCUCCUUCAACCGUUUGCUCAAUGUUGUGAGUGUGCUUUGGUGUUGGUUGCUUUCAUCGUUGCUUCAACUGUCUGCUCUUUUUUCUCGACUUCAGGGCAGGGAGAAAGCAAAAGAGUGGACAAGCAGAUGGAAAAAAUCGGCUUGUUUUAGGAAAGAAAGUCAAAUAUGGAAGUCAAAACUCUUCAGGAGAAAAAACUCACUUCCGUCCUCAUUGCACAAAUGAAGUAAUGGUGUGAUUGAGACCACGGAUAGGGAACUGCGAACUUACCCGAGGAAAACGAUUACUGAUGGAACUUCUAUUUGAAACCUGGCUUCUUCUCUGCUUUGCCGAAUUUUAAUAGUACAUCAAGAUUUUGUUGCUGGUUUUCAGAAUAGGCAGCAAAUAAAAAUUCGUUGAUCAUCGACAAAUUUGGCUGACUUAUAGCUUUCCAAAGGCAAAGCAUGGAAUUUAUGUGCUAGCUUGUAUCUGCUAACUGCGCAUUGGAGGAUGUUAAAUAGUCUUAUGAGACUGCUGGAAAAGGUUGGGUUGUGGAGAUGUUGGAAGUGGCUACUUGGCUGAACUGAGUCGAACCAAAUGUUACUUUGCUAUGGAAGUCACACAUAAAGUAGCUGCCACAAAGCAUCUUCGUGCUCAGACAAAAAGAGAAAUUUUACAGUCCCUUGAUCAUCUUCUUCUUCCAUCACUCUACAGACACUGCGAGACUGAUAAGUUCUCAUGUUUGGUCAUGGAUUCUACCCUGGAGGGGAUUUCCACACUCUUACGCAGAGAGCCAAGGAAACAUAUUUCUGAACAAGCGGUGAAGUAUAACCUCCUUUCAGUCUUUGGUGACACGUGUUUCAUCACUUGGUUUUGUGGGACAGCUGGCUUCAUUUCCUCUGUACAUCUUGAACCCAUGUGUCUAUUCCUUUUUCCUCUGCAUCGUUACUUGUUGUUUGGAGCAUUCAGAGGAAUCAGAUAUGUCUUAUGAUGUUGUGAUGGUUUAGACAUUUUUCGGGCUGUCUUAUGAUGUUGUGAUGGUUUAGACAUUUUUCGGGCUGGCCAAUUUAUGAGGUGCUCUAUAACUUAGUCUUCUAUCAUGCAGGAACUCCAAAGGAAAAGAUGUCCGGAGAGCAUAAAAGAGCAAAAUGGACCAAAAUAGAACAAAAUAUAACAAAAUAGAGCCAAGAUAGCUGAAGUGAACCAGAGCACCACCUGCGAAUCGCAGGUACUGCAUGCGAGUCGCAGGUGGUGCAGCAUCUGUUGACAGAGAAUGGCCAAAUAAAAUAAGACAAUGAUGCAACACAUGCGAUUCGCAUGUGGAACCCGCGAGUCGCAUCCUGUGUCGCAGAUGCUGCACCUCGGCUGAUUUAUGAGAUAUUGAUGCUCUAUCCAGUUUUAUGUGAUUUAGAAGUGAUCGGAAGAAACCAAGUGAAAAGAAAGUCAAAAAGAGGCCAAACUGGACAUUUUUGCAAAACUGUCAAAACUGGACAGUUUUGCAAAAACGGGACAAAUUUGCAAAACUGAAACUUUGGGGUUUAUUUUGUCAUUGUUUGGACUUGGAAAAGUCUGGGCAUAAAAGAGAGGCUUAGGGCAACAAAACAUUUUCAUCUUUGGCAGUUUUUCAUCAAGUUUGGAGACUAGUUUUUACACCACACUUUGGGGUUGAAGAUUUGAAGAUUUGGUUGAGUAUUUCUUAAACCUUUAAUUCAUUUCUUCAAUUCCUUGCUUUGUAGUGUAUAUCUAAGUGUGUAGCUUUCUAUUCCAUAACUUGAAUCUCGUUUAUGAAAGUAUUCUUGAUUAAAGUUUGGUUUGAAACUCUUGU